CACACUCACAUACUCACUCACACACACACCUCACAUGCUCACACACUCACACUCACUCACACUGACUCACACACACUCACACACACACUCACACCCACACACACACAAACACUCACACCCACACACACACUCACACACACACUCACACACACACUCACAUCCACACACACUCACACCCACACACACUCACACACUCACACACACACCCACACACCCACACACUCACUCACACACACACACUCACACACACACUCACACCCACAUACCCACUCACACCAACACACACUCACACACACACACUCACACACACUCAUACACACACCCACACACCCACACAUUCACCCGCCUCGCCCCGGUGGUCGGUCCAUCCGGCGACCUCCGCAAUGCACGUCCAGCGGUGCUGCUAAGCGUUCCGCCACAGCCGCGGCGGUGUCCGCCACUAGGUCCACUCAGCCUGAACCCGUGCUGCGUGCUCUGUGUUCCUGUAGGUGCCGGUGGAGACGCAGAGAAAAGCAAGCAGGUUCAUUUCAAGUCGGAGCAGGAGACCGCUCAAGAGGCUCGCAAGGUCAACCACAAGGAGGUCAUCUGAGCCGCGACAACGCAGCACCGCACACAUAACACGCACACUCACUCAACACACACACACUCAACACACACUCACUCAACACACACACACUCAACACACACACACUCAACACACACUCGCUCGCUCAACACACACUCACUCAACACACACUCGCUCAACACACCCACUCAACACACACUCGCUCAACACACCCACUCAACACACACUCGCUCGCUCAACACGCACUCACUCAACACACACUCACUCAACACGCACACUGAACACGCACACUGAACACGCACUCUCUCUCUCUCUCUGCGUCUCUCCCUGCGUCUCUCCCUGCAUCUCUCUCUUCUCUCUCUCUGCGUCUCCACGCGUCCCGGCGCAAGCGACGUCCGUCGCGCCUGCGUUAGUGGGAUGCCAGUGUCGCGAUAAUAAAAACAGCAAUCUACCAAAAAGCAAUGGCGGAAGGGAACCGAGGCAUGGGACGACGACUUGCGACGGCGACAGAUGGAGCGGGGAAGCAGGAGGAGGAGGCGCUAGAAUGUGGAGGUGACGGCGUGGAGACGUCAACAACAGGAGGGGCCGGCGCCACGUCGCUGAUCUCCACCUGCGCAGGGUCCUGACGUGGCGGCGGCCACGGGGAGCGGCCGGACAAGCGGCUGGGGGGGGGGGGGCAGGCCGGGAGAUGCACUUGGUUCAGCGGCGCCGGGUGGCGGUGGCGUUUGGUUGCGGUGCGCGGUGAUCGGUCGCGGUGAUGGGUCGCGGUGAUGGAUCGCGCCGAUGGGUCGCGGUGAUGGAUCGCGGUGAUCGGUCGUGGCGAUCGGUCGAGUCGAUCUAGGGGGGGGGAGGCCCAGGGGGACCGGUUUGGAUAUUUCGCCACCGUCGUUGGCCGUGAGCGGGAAUUGAACCUGGGGUGGCCGGGUUCGCAGCGCAGCACGCUAACCGCUGCGCCACCGCUCCCUGUUCCCAAGUGCAUGCAGUCGCACGCACACGUACACACGCGCGCACACGCACACACACGUACACACACACGCGCAUGAAUACAACAUGUGCGUGUCUAGAUUUUGUAAUCGAUGAGCAGUCGUUUAGUCCGAUGCCGCGCGUUUUGCUACCGUUCUUUUUACGUUGAAGUUCACGUUUCUUUUUUUAUAUAUUACAUCCAAAUUCUCCACACGGCUUUUUUUGCAUUUGUGGGACGUGAGUCCGAUUUACAACGGAGACAUUUACGGAGGCGGAAGAUCGCACAUCUCUCCACGUUUGGUUCACCCUCUCGUCAUUUAAACUCCCUGCCGCCUCCUCCGGGAGCGGUGGCGUGCGCCCAGCCCCGUGCACCACGUGUGACGAGCCCCUCACCACGUGCCCCUCACCACGUGCCCCUCACCACGUGGGGGCGCUCGGCCCACGUGACAUGAAACCUCACCACGUGGGGGCGCUUGCUCUGACGUACCCCUCGCCAUGUGUGACGUGCACCUCGCCCCGUGUGACGCGCCUCUCAUCACGUGACGAGCCCCUCACCACGUGAUGGCGCACGCCUCGCCUCGUGCGACGCGACGCGCCGGGUGCUGGGCCGGUUGCUCGCUGAGAUUAUUGACCGUCUGCCUUGGGGGGGGGAGGAGGGGGGGUUGAAGAAUAUCCACUAAUUAAUCACGACAACGGGAAACUUGAAUUAGACGAAUAAAGAGGCCAAGCUGCAGAGCAUCGCGGGUGGCCCCUCGUGACGGAGUCUUGUGCAGGAGCGGCAUGUCAACGUUGGCAACGCACGGCACAGCGUCGCGUGCCCCGCUCGCUGGGGAUGGAUGCGGAUAUGCGAGAAGGGUCGGAUCUGCGACGUUGCUGCGGCGUGUUACCUCGCGCUGUUUGGUGCUGCCGCCGCCAUGUCCAUUGCGGUGGUCGUGGCCGAAUCGUGGGCCGGGCAGUGCUUGGGUGGCGAACACUCGCGGCGCGUCACUCGGGAAUGUGGGCGAUGGCGUGGGAAGGGAUAACGGCGAGCGGCCAGCAACUAACGGUGGUGCCGUUGAUGUUGGAACACAUCGGGCGUUGUGUGACGAGGGUCUUGAAUCGAGCGGGGUUACUUAUUGCGGAUGAUGAUGAUGGGAGGAGGGAAUUCCUCGCGAGUGGAGAAGCGCGAGGGAAGAAGCGGAGAGGGAGGUGCCCUAACCUGCCGUUCAAUGCCGAAGAGGACAAGGGCUUCUGGGUAGCCCCCAUGAUGCAUUGCAGCCUCACUCAGCUCGUGGUGCUAUUGAUGGGACGACGCUCGUCGCUCAUUGCUUGACGUCCGUUAUUGAACCAUUUGUGAAGUCGUCGUUAGGUCGUGGGCACGACAGGGUAGCGGUGGUGGUAGCGUUAUAGUGGUGACAACACUCGCGCCUCGCAGUAAAAAGUCCUGGGUUCGACUCCCGACUGGGGCUCCUCUCUGUGAGUCGAGUUUGCAGUUUGCGUGUUCUCGCCCUGCUCUGCGUGGCUCCCUCCGGGCUGUCUGGUUUGCUCCUCGAGAUCAAAUACCCCCCCAUACAGUACCACUGGCGUAGGCCGAGAAACAAUCUCACUGCUGCGAAACUCGCGUGCCGAUCACUCCACGUGGGAUCACCCGCAGCACGGAACGUCUACCCCUCUACCGCAGACACUUGGCAGGACCCUCUUGAGCACGAGCCUUGAGACUCUUCGGUGAGACCGUCCCGGCUGAACGAGCGCCUUCUCUGAAUGUCAAUCAGCUCCAGCCACCUCGCCGCCCCCCCAGCGAGUCUCGUGACCUCGUUUUUAGGAGGGUCCUGCUUGCUUACAUCGACACGUUUGGCCGUCAAAUUCGUUUGGCGGCGGAGGUGGCAGUGGUGGUGGUGAUUGUGUGGGUGGUGGUGGUGUGGGUGGUGGUGGUGGUGUGGGUGGUGUGGGUGGUGGUGGUGGUGAUGAUUGUGUGGGUGGUGGUGAUUGUGUGGGUGGUGGUGGUGAUUUUGUGGGUGGUGGUGAUUGUGUGGGUGGUGGUGUGGGUGGUGGUGGUGGUGUGGGUGGUGGUGGUGGUGUGGGUGCUGGUGGUGAUUGUGUGGGUGGUGGUGGUGGUGGUGAGGUGGCCUUCCCUCUGUGGGAGCAAACCAGAGAGCCCUGGAGAAAGCCCCCCGGCACCACGCAAUGAAUUCUCACCGAACAUCUGUCGCCCGGUUAACCCAAACACCAAACCAUGUUUGAAGGCAAUUAUGAUUUCCAAGUAUUUGUUUUAUACGUAUUUUAUUUUAUACUUGCGUGCCUCUGUAUUAAGCCAGUUGCUUUAGUGUAUAAUUGUUAUAGUUUAAGCCGGUGUGGGUGUAACCGCCGCGAGUGAGUGCUCUGGGCUUGUAUGGACCGCGUUGGCGACACAAGGCUCGCUCCGGGCAGCACAGGAGGAGCAGGGUUGGUUUGUGUGUCUCUCCGUAUCCGCUGUUGUGUAACCGGCGCGGUCCGUGUAACGAAAGAAAAGCCACAAUAAAGCCACAACGGCGAUUGUGAACCCG